rnacentral:rRNA from 1 species
AUUAACUGAAUCCAUAGGUUAAUGAGGCGAACCGGGGGAACUGAAACAUCUAAGUACCCCGAGGAAAAGAAAUCAACCGAGAUUCCCCCAGUAGCGGCGAGCGAACGGGGAGGAGCCCAGAGCCUGAAUCAGUGUGUGUGUUAGUGGAAGCGUCUGGAAAGGCGCGCGAUACAGGGUGACAGCCCCGUACACAAAAAUGCACAUGCUGUGAGCUCGAUGAGUAGGGCGGGACACGUGGUAUCCUGUCUGAAUAUGGGGGGACCAUCCUCCAAGGCUAAAUACUCCUGACUGACCGAUAGUGAACCAGUACCGUGAGGGAAAGGCGAAAAGAACCCCGGCGAGGGGAGUGAAAAAGAACCUGAAACCGUGUACGUACAAGCAGUGGGAGCACAGAGCAAUCUGUGUGACUGCGUACCUUUUGUAUAAUGGGUCAGCGACUUAUAUUCUGUAGCAAGGUUAACCGAAUAGGGGAGCCGAAGGGAAACCGAGUCUUAACUGGGCGUUAAGUUGCAGGGUAUAGACCCGAAACCCGGUGAUCUAGCCAUGGGCAGGUUGAAGGUUGGGUAACACUAACUGGAGGACCGAACCGACUAAUGUUGAAAAAUUAGCGGAUGACUUGUGGCUGGGGGUGAAAGGCCAAUCAAACCGGGAGAUAGCUGGUUCUCCCCGAAAGCUAUUUAGGUAGCGCCUCGUGAAUUCAUCUCCGGGGGUAGAGCACUGUUUCGGCAAGGGGGUCAUCCCGACUUACCAACCCGAUGCAAACUGCGAAUACCGGAGAAUGUUAUCACGGGAGACACACGGCGGGUGCUAACGUCCGUCG